UACAGAGGGUGCGAGCGUUGUCCGGAAUCACUGGGCGUAAAGGGCGCGUAGGCGGCCUGGUAAGUAGGGGGGUGAAAUCUUGCGGCUCAACUGCAAGGCUGCCUCCUAAACUGCCGGGCUGGAGCACGGUAGAGGCAGAUGGAAUCCCCGGUGUAGCGGUGGAAUGCGUAGAGAUCGGGAAGAACAUCAGUGGCGAAGGCGGCAUCCUGGACCGGUAUUGACGCUGAGGCGCGAAAGCCAGGGGAGCAAACGGGG
rnacentral:rRNA from 1 species